rnacentral:tRNA from 1 species
AAGACUGGAAUCAAAAGUUUGAAACUUUUUUUUUCGAUUUUUCGACAGUUUUU